GUAGGGAAUCUUGCGCAAUGAGGGAAACCUUGACGCAGCGACGCCGCGUGCGGGAUGAAGGCCUUCGGGUUGUAAACCGCUUUCAGCAGGGACGAAAUUGACGGUACCUGCAGAAGAAGGCCCGGCCAACUACGUGCCAGCAGCCGCGGUAAUACGUAGGGGCCUAGCGUUGUCCGGAUUUAUUGGGCGUAAAGAGCUCGUAGGCGGUUCGGUAAGUCAGGUGUGAAAUCUCCACGCUCAACGUGGAGGCGCCACCUGAAACUGCCGUGACUCGAGUCCGGUAGGGGAGUGUGGAAUUCCUGGUGUAGCGGUGAAAUGCGCAGAUAUCAGGAGGAACACCAGUGGCGAAGGCGGCACUCUGGGCCGGUACUGACGCUGAGGAGCGAAAGCGUGGGGAGCGAACAGGAUUAGAAACCCCGGUAGUCC
rnacentral:rRNA from 1 species